UCCUUUGUUCGUACGCUUACUGCCCCCUCCCUAAACCCUAACAACUCCAGCUGCGACCUCCUUCUCCCCCACCACCUCCUCCUCCUCCUCUCUCUUCCACAUUUAACUCCUUUUCUUCCGUUUGGGCUUCAUUUCAUAGAUGCCGCCUCCCUUCUCCAUAGCAGUCGGGCGUCAUUGAGCAUCUUUCAUGGUGGGUUGCAGUUGAAUACGCGUGUGGCAGCCAUUGAAGUGAUUACAUAAGAACAGAGCUAAGAAAUUCUUCUUGCGAGUUGAGACAGAGGACCGAGGUCUGUUUGCCUUCGGUUAUGCUCAUCCCUGUGAGGCACAAGCUAUAGUUCAAUUUUCCCUCCGAGUUUUAAGAUAUGGAUCCCAGCCAGGAGUCUAGUCUGUUGCCUCUCCCUGAUUCUCAGCAGACAAGGAAACCGCAUGCGCCACCAAAGCGGUUUGUGAGGAACCAAAUUCCGGACUCAAUCCUCCACGACUCAGCUCUGAACGCUGCAAUAGCCCUCCUUCCCUCCAACUACAACUUUGAAGUCCACAAGUGUGUCUGGCGUGUGCGCUCCACCAAUGCCUCACGGGUGGCCCUCCAACUCCCCGAGGGCCUCCUCAUGUACUCUCUGGUCCUCUCUGACAUCCUCUCCACCUUCGGCGGUGUCUCCCAGUGCUUUGUUCUCGGUGACGCAACCUACGGCGCGUGCUGUGUAGACGACCUUGCUGCCAAGGCACUCGAUGCUGACCUCCUCAUCCACUUUGGCCACAGUUGCCUUGUCCCACUCCACGUCACCUCAAUCCCCUGUCUCUACGUCUUCGUUGAAAUCUCAAUUGAUGUCUCCCGAUUAAUCCAGACCGUCCAUCUCAACCUCCAAAACUCUCACUGUAAAAACCUGGUGCUUGCUGGAACAAUCCAAUUUGCCUCCGCAAUUCGAGCAGCCAAACCUGAGCUUGAAACCAAUGGUUUCAAGGUCCUCAUUCCACAGUCAAAACCCUUGUCUGCCGGUGAGGUUUUGGGUUGUACUGCCCCAAAAAUCUCACGCAAAAUAACCAAAGGCAACGAGGAGGAGGAAGAGGAGAGCGUAAUGGUGUUUGUGGCAGAUGGGCGUUUUCAUUUAGAAGCGAUUAUGAUAGCAAAUCCGGGGCUGAAGACGUUUCGGUACGACCCAUAUAUGGGGAAACUGUUUUUGGAGGAAUAUGAUCACAAGGGGAUGAGGGAGUCAAGGAAGAGCGCAAUUUUGAAAGCAAAGGAAGCCUCGAAUUGGGGCGUUGUGUUGGGGACUUUAGGAAGGCAAGGCAAUCCCAGGAUUCUACAGAGACUGGAAAAGAAAAUGAAGGACGAAGGUUUUUCUUAUACCGUGUUUUUGAUGUCAGAGAUUAGUCCUCCGAGAAUUGCUCUGUUUGAAGACUCAGUCGAUGCUUGGAUUCAGAUUGCUUGUCCUCGCUUGUCCAUUGACUGGGGCGAUUCGUUUACAAAGCCCCUUUUGAAUCCUUUUGAGGCUGACAUUGCUCUUGGCUUCAUUCCUCCUUGGUGGGACAAAAAUAAGAAGAGUGAUUCUGGUUGUGCAUGUGCUAAUGGAAAUCGGGUUGGGGAAGAAGAUGUUGUUGGGGAUUAUCCCAUGGACUAUUAUGCUUUGGAUGGAGGGGAAUGGAAUUCCUCUUAUGUCAACAAGCCGUCCCGCCCUAUUCGGAGAGAUUCUGCAUCGGCUACUACUGCAAACACUGGAUAGAAAGCUUGGGAAGUUGCAGUGCCUCCUUUCAGGAAUUCGCCAAAGAUGGGCCUCAUGGUGAACGUCGAAGAUGCAUCUCCUGUUGCAUUAGAAGAUGAAACUGAAACCGUCGAGCAUUUCUAGCAGAACCUAAAAGCGAUAUGUUACGGUAGAUGGUGUCUUGCAUUUUGGCGUGGAGAAUACAGCAUUUGGCAUGCUAUUAAGUUGAUCUAAUACGACCUGGUGAUUUCAAGCUCGCUUGUUCACUUACUGAACAACCAUUUACACAUUCAAAGGUGCUUAUUUGAGUUCGAUAUGGAUUUCAAGAUCGAGUUGCGACAGGCAAUGGUGUCCGAAAAAUAUAUGUAACAUUCUCAAAUUGAAAUGAGGCAAUUAGCGAAUAAUGAUAUUUGAUCAUUUUUA